AACGAACGCUAGCGGUGUGGAUUAGGCAUGCAAGUCGCGCGCGAAAGCCUUCGGGCGAGUAAAGCGGCGAAAGGGUGAGUAACACGUAACCAACGUACCCCUCAGACUGGGAUAACCACGUGGAAACGGUGGAUAAUACCGGAUGGUCCACUGGGCAGCAUUGCCUGGCUGGUAAACGGCGGCCGCAAGGCGGUUGCUGAGGGAGCGGGUUGCGGCCUAUCAGCUUGUUGGUGAGGUAACGGCUCACCAAGGCUAUGACGGGUAACAGGUCUGAGAGGAUGAUCUGUCACACUGGGACUGAGACACUGCCCAGACUCCUACGGGAGGCUGCAGUCGAGAAUC
rnacentral:rRNA from 1 species